AACGAACGCUGGCGGCAUGCCUAACACAUGCAAGUCGAACGAGACCUUCGGGUCUAGUGGCGCACGGGUGCGUAACGCGUGGGAACCUGCCCUUAGGUUCGGAAUAACUCCCCGAAAGGGGUGCUAAUACCGGAUAAUGUCUUCGGACCAAAGAUUUAUCGCCUUUGGAUGGGCCCGCGUUGGAUUAGCUAGUUGGUAGGGUAAAAGCCUACCAAGGCGACGAUCCAUAGCUGGUCUGAGAGGAUGAUCAGCCACACUGGGACUGAGACACGGCCCAGACUCCUACGGGAGGCAGCAGUGGGGAAUAUUGGACAAUGGGCGAAAGCCUGAUCCAGCAAUGCCGCGUGAGUGAUGAAGGCCUUAGGGUUGUAAAGCUCUUUUAACCGGGAUGAUAAUGACAGUACCGGGAGAAUAAGCGCCGGCUAACUCCAUG
rnacentral:rRNA from 1 species